rnacentral:rRNA from 1 species
CAGUCGAGCGGACAGAAGGGAGCUUGCUCCCGGAUGUUAGCGGCGGACGGGUGAGUAACACGUGGGUAACCUGCCUGUAAGACUGGGAUAACUCCGGGAAACCGGAGCUAAUACCGGAUAGUUCCUUGAACCGCAUGGUUCAAGGAUGAAAGACGGUUUCGGCUGUCACUUACAGAUGGACCCGCGGCGCAUUAGCUAGUUGGUGAGGUAACGGCUCACCAAGGCGACGAUGCGUAGCCGACCUGAGAGGGUGAUCGGCCACACUGGGACUGAGACACGGCCCAGACUCCUACGGGAGGCAGCAGUAGGGAAUCUUCCGCAAUGGACGAAAGUCUGACGGAGCAACGCCGCGUGAGUGAUGAAGGUUUUCGGAUCGUAAAGCUCUGUUGUUAGGGAAGAACAAGUGCAAGAGUAACUGCUUGCACCUUGACGGUACCUAACCAGAAAGCCACGGCUAACUACGUGCCAGCAGCCGCGGUAAUACGUAGGUGGCAAGCGUUGUCCGGAAUUAUUGGGCGUAAAGGGCUCGCAGGCGGUUUCUUAAGUCUGAUGUGAAAGCCCCCGGCUCAACCGGGGAGGGUCAUUGGAAACUGGGAAACUUGAGUGCAGAAGAGGAGAGUGGAAUUCCACGUGUAGCGGUGAAAUGCGUAGAGAUGUGGAGGAACACCAGUGGCGAAGGCGACUCUCUGGUCUGUAACUGACGCUGAGGAGCGAAAGCGUGGGGAGCGAACAGGAUUAGAUACCCUGGUAGUCCACGCCGUAAACGAUGAGUGCUAAGUGUUAGGGGGUUUCCGCCCCUUAGUGCUGCAGCUAACGCAUUAAGCACUCCGCCUGGGGAGUACGGUCGCAAGACUGAAACUCAAAGGAAUUGACGGGGGCCCGCACAAGCGGUGGAGCAUGUGGUUUAAUUCGAAGCAACGCGAAGAACCUUACCAGGUCUUGACAUCCUCUGACAACCCUAGAGAUAGGGCUUUCCCUUCGGGGACAGAGUGACAGGUGGUGCAUGGUUGUCGUCAGCUCGUGUCGUGAGAUGUUGGGUUAAGUCCCGCAACGAGCGCAACCCUUGAUCUUAGUUGCCAGCAUUCAGUUGGGCACUCUAAGGUGACUGCCGGUGACAAACCGGAGGAAGGUGGGGAUGACGUCAAAUCAUCAUGCCCCUUAUGACCUGGGCUACACACGUGCUACAAUGGACAGAACAAAGGGCUGCGAGACCGCAAGGUUUAGCCAAUCCCACAAAUCUGUUCUCAGUUCGGAUCGCAGUCUGCAACUCGACUGCGUGAAGCUGGAAUCGCUAGUAAUCGCGGAUCAGCAUGCCGCGGUGAAUAC